rnacentral:lncRNA from 10 species
CUGCAAAGUGCUUUGCAGAUGUUACUUAUGGUGGGAAGGUCUGGAAGGGGAGGGGAAGGUUCUAAAGGCUGAGGUCCCUGCUUUGCCCUUAGCAGAGAUAAAACUCCCAGGGAACCCUCUGGGGAUCAUAUGUCUCCCACCUCCAUCCCAAAGGGGACCACUCUGGGUGUGCAAAAGCCUCUAACACUGCCCUGAGCUCUUUGUACCCAGAUCUAUUGCUCACAAAUGGGGCUCCAUCUCCCAGCCCCCAAAUUCAUUCCUUUGCAUGAUGAUGAAUCAUGUUAAACAAAAUGAAUAUGCAAAUCUCCUCAGGGCGGGCCUUACAUCUAUGGGAAGCGGUGCCUAACAAAUGGAUUCUGAAUAAGAAGACAGCUCCAGCAACGCAGCUCUCCUGCUGUCUCUCCUCCCCUGCCCCUCGGACUCCUCCCACCCCUGUCCCUCUGUCCCAAGCCUGGAACCUCAAGAAGGUAUCUUCUGGGUAACUGAAGUGGAUAACCAACCGAUCAGGAAGUUCCAAGGGCCUUCCAAGCCCCUUCUGGAAUGAAGAAUGCGGAGACUCGAUUUCCACCUAGAAACAGAGUCCCACCCCUCCCUCCUUCUCCUCCUGGCCCCGGGGGUGCCCAGUGAAGGGCCCAACAGCUCCUAGGGCACCCUGACCUUCCCCCAGGAAGUGGGAGAGACCAGCGGUAGGAAUUGCAAAUGACGUUCAUUAAGCAGGAUGCUAAUACCAUGAAUUACAAAUGAAACCCAGAUGAAGAGGACCCUGGCAGCCUUACCUCUGUUAGAUAUUAAUUGGGCGACACUUUGUUUUAAUGGUACGUUAAUUAAUGCGGAAUUUCGACGGAAGUCCUCGUGACACUCACAUUAAUACAAACGAAUUCAUUACUGUCGGUGUUAUUACAAGAAAUGACAAAUAAAUCUGUAACAGUGGGACCCUUCAAAUAAUAAUCACGAAUCAUUAGGUUUGCCGCUCGUUUGUACUGUAGCUUGCAAAUAUGUGUAUAUGUUUUCUGCUGCGAGGAA